CUCCAGGUGCACUGCAUGGAGUUCAGGGUGUUCAAUUAAGACUAUGUUCACUGUCUUUUUCUGCACUGCACCUCAUCACCAGGACCUUAAGACUUCAUGCACCCGAAGCUGGUUGCCUGAACUCUUAUUUCGACUCUGGCAGGUGAUCCUACUUUGGCAGGGGUUGGACUGGCUGAGCUUUUAAGGUCCCUUCCAGCCCCUGACAUUCAGUGAAGACAAAUAAACCUUACACAGUUUGGGCACUUCAGUUUCUUUGUCAGAAACCAGAAAUGUUGGCAAGCUGCUAUGGGGAGAAAGAAGCUAAAACAGUCAAAAGCAAGGUGAAGGCUCAUCCCUUCCCCAGCACCCCUGCUCCAGCAAAACACCUUGGACCUGCUCUCUGCCCUUCCAGAGACCAGUCUCAGGGGCACAGGGAGCAUCUCUUCUAUGGGAGAUGCCUGUUGCAGGCUGGGUUUUUCUGCUCUUAUCUCCACUCCCCUCUCUGAAGUAGCUGAAGCUGGAGCAUCAGCCAUUGCCAACUGUUUCAAUCACACUUGAAAAA